rnacentral:rRNA from 1 species
GACGAACGCUGGCGGCGUGCUUAAUACAUGCAAGUCGAACGGAAAGGCCCUGCUCUUGUGGGGUGCUCGAGUGGCGAACGGGUGAGUAACACGUGAGUAACCUGCCCUUGACUUUGGGAUAACUUCAGGAAACUGGGGCUAAUACCGGAUAGGAGCUCCUGCUGCAUGGUGGGGGUUGGAAAGUUUCGGCGGUUGGGGAUGGACUCGCGGCUUAUCAGCUUGUUGGUGAGGUAGUGGCUUACCAAGGCUUUGACGGGUAGCCGGCCUGAGAGGGUGACCGGCCACAUUGGGACUGAGAUACGGCCCAGACUCCUACGGGAGGCAGCAGUGGGGAAUAUUGCACAAUGGGCGGAAGCCUGAUGCAGCAACGCCGCGUGCGGGAUGACGGCCUUCGGGUUAUAAACCGCUUUCGACUGUGACAAAGCGUGAGUGACGGUAAUGGGUAAAGAAGCACCGGCUAACUACGUG